rnacentral:rRNA from 1 species
GACGAACGCUGGCGGCGUGCUUAACACAUGCAAGUCGAGCGGAGCGGCGAACGGGGGAGUAACGCGUGAGUAACUGCCACCCUCCCUGGGAUAGCAGUUGGAAACGGGUGCUCAUACCGGAUAGUGGGGGAUGACGCGCGGCAUCUCAGCUUGUUGGGGGUGUGGUGGCCUACCAAGGCGACGGCGGGUAGCCGGCCUGGGAGGGCGACCGUGCACAUUGUGCUGCGAUACGGGCCAAACUGCUACGGGGGGAAGUGGUGGGGAAUAGUGCGCAAUGGGGGAAACCCUGAGGCAGCGACGCCGCGGUCGGAAUGACUGCCUUCGGGUUGUAAACCGCUUUCAGCCAUGACGCGGUAGUGGCAGAAGAAGCACCGGCUAACUACGUGCCAGCCGCCGCGGUAAUAC